rnacentral:rRNA from 1 species
CCAAGGCUAAAUACUCCCUAGUGACCGAUAGUGAACCAGUACCGUGAGGGAAAGGUGAAAAGCACCCCGGAAGGGGAGUGAAACAGUUCCUGAAACCGUGUGCCUACAAGUAGUUAGAGCCCGUUAAUGGGUGAUAGCGUGCCUUUUGUAGAAUGAACCGGCGAGUUACGAUUUGUUGCAAGGUUAAGCGGAAAAAGCGGAGCCGUAGCGAAAGCGAGUCUGAAUAGGGCGCAUAAGUAACAGGUCGUAGACCCGAAACCAGGUGAUCUACCCAUGUCCAGGAUGAAGGUAAGGUAAUACUUACUGGAGGUCCGAACCCACGCACGUUGAAAAGUGCGGGGAUGAGGUGUGGGUAGCGGAGAAAUUCCAAUCGAACUUGGAGAUAGCUGGUUCUCUCCGAAAUAGCUUUAGGGCUAGCCUCGAGGUAAAGAGUCAUGGAGGUAGAGCACUGUUUGGACUAGGGGCCCUUCUCGGGUUACCGAAUUCAGAUAAACUCCGAAUGCCAUGUACUUAUACUCGGGAGUCAGACUGCGAGUGAUAAGAUCCGUAGUCGAAAGGGAAACAGCCCAGACCACCAGUUAAGGUCCCCAAAUAUAUGUUAAGUGGAAAAGGAUGUGGGGUUGCUUAGACAACCAGGAUGUUGGCUUAGAAGCAGCCACCAUUGAAAGAGUGCGUAAUAGCUCACUGGUCGAGUGACCCCGCGCCGAAAAUGUACCGGGGCUAAACAUAUUACCGAAACUGUGGAUGAACCUCUUUAGAGGUUCGUGGUAGGAGAGCGUUCUAAGGGCGGUGAAGUCAGACCGGAAGGACUGGUGGAGCGCUUAGAAGUGAGAAUGCCGGUAUGAGUAGCGAAAGAAGGGUGAGAAUCCCUUCCACCGAAUAUCUAAGGUUUCCUGAGGAAGGCUCGUCCGCUCAGGGUUAGUCGGGACCUAAGCCGAGGCCGAUAGGCGUAGGCGAUGGACAACAGGUAGAGAUUCCUGUACCAGUGCUAAUUGUUUAACCGAUGGGGUGACACAGAAGGAUAGGGAAUCGCACGAAUGGAAAUGUGCGUCCAAGCAGUGAGUGUGAGAAGUAGGCAAAUCCGCUUCUCGCGAAGCAUGAGCUGUGAUGGGGAAGGAAAUUAAGUACGGAAGUUCCUGAUUUCACGCUGUCAAGAAAAGCCUCUAGGAAGAGUAGUACUGCCCGUACCGCAAACCGACACAGGUAGAUGAGGAGAGAAUCCUAAGGUGAGCGAGAGAACUCUCGUUAAGGAACUCGGCAAAAUGACCCCGUAACUUCGGGAGAAGGGGUGCUCUAUUAGGGUGCAAGCCCGAGAGAGCCGCAGUGAAUAGGCCCAGGCGACUGUUUAGCAAAAACACAGGUCUCUGCAAAACCGUAAGGUGACGUAUAGGGGCUGACGCCUGCCCGGUGCUGGAAGGUUAAGAGGAGUGCUUAGCUUCGGCGAAGGUACGAAUUGAAGCCCCAGUAAACGGCGGCCGUAACUAUAACGGUCCUAAGGUAGCGAAAUUCCUUGUCGGGUAAGUUCCGACCCGCACGAAAGGCGCAACGAUCUGGGCACUGUCUCAACGAGAGACUCGGUGAAAUUAUAGUACCUGUGAAGAUGCAGGUUACCCGCGACAGGACGGAAAGACCCCGUGGAGCUUUACUGCAACCUGAUAUGGAAUGUUUGUACCGCUUGUACAGGAUAGGUAGGAGCCGAAGAGACGUGUGCGCUAGCAUACGAGGAGGCAAUGGUGGGAUACUACCCUGGCUGUAUGACCAUUCUAACCCGCCACGCUUAGCGCGUGGGGAGACAGUGUCAGGUGGGCAGUUUGACUGGGGCGGUCGCC